GGGCCCCCAUGAUGUCCAGCACUGGGCUCUGACCUCCCUUGAGGACAUGGUGCCCCCCCCCCCCCCGGGACCUUUGACACCCAGGGGGUCUGAGGGGCCC